AAAGAAUCUGCUCAUGAUCCAAAACAUACAAGCUCAUCACUGACUACGUUUACAUGGACAGCAGUAAUCUAAUUAUUGACCUUACUCUGAGUAAGAUAAUAAUGUGAUUAAGGUGUUUACACGAGUCGCUUUUAGAAUACUCCUGUCAUGUUCCCGUUCUACAUGUUUUAGAACAUAAUUAGAAUAACAGCAGCGUCAUUACGUCACCGCGUCACGCCGUCCGACGUCCCUCCAGAAUUUCACGUAUCAACAUACAGUUCGUCUUCGUUAUGGUACCGUAUACAGUUUUGCGUGUUUUAUUUAUUUAUUUUUUUACAAACGCUUUAAGUGCAGUUAAUUAUUUGUCAUGCUGUACGUGCUAAUAGACAGCUGCUUGAAGCGGUGGGUGUGUCCCAAAUCACGUACUUACCGUCUAUAUAGUAGCCGAGAUACAUGUAUUUUUCCCCACUACAGGCCUAUAGUAGGAAAGUAUGCGAUUUGGGACACAGCCGAACUCUCUUGUUCGCCGUAAAACGUAAAACUGCCGUGUGUGAUCGUGUCCUGUCGCAAAAUGCGGUGAAAACUCCCACACGACGUUCAUAAUGUGAUUCAGGUGUUUACAUGUCACUACUACACGUCCAUAAUGCCACUAAAAUAGGAGUACUCCCCCUGUCUUAAUUCGAUUAUUGCUUAUUUCGAUUAUGACCUUAAUUAGAUUAAGAGAAAUGCAUCAAGACAGUGAUCCAAAAACACACUGCCAACUCAACAAAGGACUUCAACAGGGGGAAGAGUGGAAGGUUUUAGACUGGCCAUGUCAAUCACCAGACCUUAACUCAAACCUCCUGAAGAAGAGACUGAAGGGAAAAAUCACCUAAAACAAACAACUGAAAGAGGCUGCGGUAAAAGCCUGGAAAAGCAUCCGAACAAAAAGAAAUCAACAAUUUGGUGAUGUCAGUGAGUCACACGCUUGAUGCAGAUAUUGCAAGCAAGGGAUAUGCGACCAUAUAUUACGUGUUACUGACUUAAAUUUACUUCGUCUUAUCUGUUUCUAUACUUUUGCUCGCCUAAAAAUUGGAUCGUCUCAUACAAAAGGUGCUAUGUUUUAAGUUGUUUAACAGGUCUAGAUGUAAAUACCAGGAAAUAAAAGCUGAAAUCCUAAACUCUAUCUAAACUAUAUCCAUCUUUUGAUCUCAAACCCAAUUG
ensembl:lncRNA